ensembl:lncRNA
CCUGCCCCCGCCCCGCCCCCUAUACGCCAAGCACCUGAGACUUGAAAGGCUCCACCCCCAGCGGUGCGACAGAUGUAAGGGGCGGGGCCAGGCCGCAGUUCUGCCCCUUUACCUGCGGAGGCCCACCUUGGGUGACGAAAGGUUCUCUCCCCCUAGAAGAAAGAAGGUCUGGCUGACUCUUCCGGACAGCCAAACUGGAUCACGCCUUUUUCUGAACCCUGGGGACACAGAAAUGCACAAGGUGGACACAAUCUCUGACCUGGAGGAGUUUAGUAGUGCAAAGGGCACGGCAGCGUGUGUCUGGUACUGUAAAGGAUGGGCUCAAGGCAGCAAGGAAACAGUGAAGAAGCGUCAUGUGUAAGAGCAUCCAGGCAAGGCUACAGAGAGGAGUGGUGUCCCACCUGGAUCAGGAAGGGAGCAACAACUG